rnacentral:rRNA from 1 species
UACGAAGGGGGCUAGCGUUGUUCGGAAUUACUGGGCGUAAAGCGCGCGCAGGCGGUCUUCCAAGUCAGUGGUGAAAGCCUGGAGCUCAACUCCAGAAUUGCCUUUAAGACUGCCGAGCUAGCAGGUGAGAGAGGUGAGUGGAAUUCCGAGUGUAGAGGUGAAAUUCGUAGAUAUUCGGAAGAACACCAGUGGCGAAGGCGGCUCACUGGCUCAUACUGGACGCUGAGGUGCGAAAGCGUGGGGAGCGAACAGG